rnacentral:rRNA from 1 species
UACGUAGGGUGCGAGCGUUAAUCGGAAUUACUGGGCGUAAAGCGUGCGCAGGCGGUUUUGUAAGACAGGCGUGAAAUCCCCGAGCUUAACUUGGGAAUGGCGCUUGUGACUGCAAGGCUAGAGUAUGUCAGAGGGGGGUAGAAUUCCACGUGUAGCAGUGAAAUGCGUAGAGAUGUGGAGGAAUACCGAUGGCGAAGGCAGCCCCCUGGGACGUCACUGACGCUCAUGCACGAAAGCGUGGGGAGCAAAAGGG